CCUACGGGGGGCAGCAGUGAGGAAUAUUGGUCAAUGGCCGCAGGGCUGAACCAGCCAAGCCGCGUGAGGGAAGACGGUCCUAUGGAUUGUAAACCGCUUUUGUAAGGGAGCAAAGGGCGCUACGUGUGGCGUUUUGCGAGUACCGGAAGAAUAAGCAUCGGCUAACUCCGUGCCAGCAGCCGCGGUAAUACGGAGGAUGCGAGCGUUAUCCGGAUUUAUUGGUUUUAAAGGGUGCGAAGGCGGAGGGUAAAGUCAGCGGUAAAAUUACGGGGCUCAACCCCGUCGUGCCGUUGAAACUGGCCGUCUAGAGAGUACUAGAAGUAGGCGGAAUGUGUGGUGUAGCGGUGAAAUGCAUAGAGAUCACACAGAACACCGAUUGCGAAGGCAGCUUACCAGCGCACAUCUGACGUUGAUGCACGAAAGCGUGGGUAGCGAACAGGAUUAGAUACCCGAGUAGUC
rnacentral:rRNA from 1 species